UUUUCCACGCGUCUCCCUUCCCAGCUCCCCUGUUCCACGACAGAGCCCGUCCAAAGAAUCUAGCCUUCAACCACCCAUGAAUAAGCCCAAGCCACCUUCAUCUCUUCCGCGAUUAGCUCCCUGCUCCUUAUCCCACAGAUUGCGUCUCAAUCAAACUUCCAAACAUGGAUCUCAUCUCUCCUUCUAUCUCGGUCCCAUGCUUAUCUUCCCAUUCCGCAACCAAUUCAUUCUCAUCCUUCCCAGCAUCUUCCUAACCUCCCAACUCCACGCUCCCAGCUCAACCUCAAAUCCCAACUUCAUGGCUUCCGAUUCUUCUUCCCAGACUUCACGGAAAUAGAUUAUCUCCCAGCUCACGGGUCAUCUUUUCUUCAAACCGAAUCAUUCCUAGAUUCUUCCUUGCGCCCGUGUUCAUCUUCCAUGUCAUCUGCAUCUCCCCAACUUCUUCCGCUAGAUCCUACGCUUAUCCCGUUCGGAUUGGUUCCAUCUUCACGGGAUAAACUCAAAUCCCAAAAUCCCCUGUUCCGCUUGAGAACCAGCAACCACCCUCUUCUCCCACGAUGCAGAUCAAGCUUCCAGCACCUUCACUCCCAAUGCCCGAGCUGCCAAAUCCCAUGAAUCAUUCCCUGUUUCACGCAUCUUCAUCUCAGCCAAAUUCCCAGCAUCCCAUUGGUGAACCAUAUCCUCCCCUGUUCCGAGUUCAUCCCUUCUCCCACGGAUCAUUCUGCAUCUAAAGAACAGGCCAACCUCCCUCCGAAUCACAUCACCCAGUAGCAUCGGUUUCUUUCGGAUCCUCUCCAGUGGAACAAGAGUUUAUCCACGAAUAAGCUUCGAAUCCAGCAAGAUCUCGGCAUCGCGUGCGCCCAAUCCUCAUCCGCGUUGAAGCAGCGUUGGUUUCUCCCGCUGCAUUUCCACCGCAUCCAAGGAUCAAAGAAUUUGCCUUAUCCUGUUUCCAUUCAUCCUUAUCUCCCCUCAACCGUGAGCUCUGAAGGGAUCACCUCAAUCUUUCCAUCCUUAUCUGGCACUUGAAACAGAGGAGGAGGGAGGAAGAGCCCGCUGCUUAUAAAAGGGGAGACGCCUCUUCUUCGGGAGCCAACUCUCUUCUCAGGAGGGAAUACCACGAAAAUUAAAACAAAGCAGAGGAGGGAGAGAGGUUUGGAUAUUUUGGGAAUAACUUUCCAUAUACAAAAAAAUAAGAAUGAAGUGCUGAGGGAAAGGAAGCCGAUCGUGAUGCAAAUGGAAGCCCGCUGCUGUGCCACUGCUGCUGUCACCCACAACUUCAUGGAAGGCUGAUCUCCUCUCUNNN
rnacentral:lncRNA from 1 species